AACCGCACGGGACCUAUUAUCCCGUGCGGUUGUCUUAGGCGGACCGCACGGGAUAAUCGAUGAUCCCGUGCGGCC
rnacentral:pre_miRNA from 18 species